rnacentral:rRNA from 1 species
GAACGGUAGCAGGUCCUUCGGGAUGCUGACGAGUGGCGGACGGGUGCGUAACGCGUGGGAAUCUGCCCAAUAGUGGGGGAUAACCCGGGGAAACCCGGGCUAAUACCGCAUACUCCCUACGGGGGAAAGCGGGGGACCGCAAGGCCUCGCGCUAUUGGAUGAGCCCGCGUCCGAUUAGCUUGUUGGUGGGGUAAAAGCCUACCAAGGCGACGAUCGGUAGCUGGUCUGAGAGGACGACCAGCCACACUGGGACUGAGACACGGCCCAGACUCCUACGGGAGGCAGCAGUGGGGAAUAUUGGACAAUGGGGGGAACCCUGAUCCAGCAAUGCCGCGUGUGUGAAGAAGGCCUGCGGGUUGUAAAGCACUUUCGGCAGGAAAGAAAAGCCAUGCGCUAAUACCGCAUGACCUUGACGUUAC